rnacentral:siRNA from 1 species
CACUUGAUUCAUGAUUCUGUUGC